GAUUAACGCUAGCUACCGGCUUAACACAUGCAAGUCGAGGGACCGGCUCACGGGUGAGUAACACGUAUCCAACCUUCCCUUUACUCGGGGAUAGCCUUUCGACAGAACGAUUAAUACCCGAUAUAAAGGAUGGGGAUGCGUUCCAUUAUGUUGUUGGUGAGGUAACGGCACACCAAGCCUUCGAUGGAUAGGGGUUCUGAGAGGAAGGUCCCCCAGAUUGGAACUGAGACACGGUCCAAACUCGUACGGGAGGCAGCAGUGAGGAAUAUUGGUCAAUGGGGGCUAGCCUGAACCAGCCAAGUAGCGUGAAGGAGGAAGGCUUAUGGGUCGUAAACUUCUUUUAUAUAAGAAUAUGUAUUAUAUGAAUAAGGAUCGGCUAACUCCGUGCCAGCCGCCGCGGUAAUAC
rnacentral:rRNA from 1 species